GACGAACGCUGGCGGCGUGCCUAAUACAUGCAAGUAGAACGCACAGUUUAUACCGUAGCUUGCUACACCAUAGACUGUGAGUUGCGAACGGGUGAGUAACGCGUAGGUAACCUGCCUGGUAGCGGGGGAUAACUAUUGGAAACGAUAGCUAAUACCGCAUAAUAUUAAUUAUUGCAUGAUAAUUAAUUGAAAGGUGCAAUUGCACCACUACCAGAUGGACCUGCGUUGUAUUAGCUAGUAGGUGAGGUAACGGCUCACCUAGGCGACGAUACAUAGCCGACCUGAGAGGGUGAUCGGCCACACUGGGACUGAGACACGGCCCAGACUCCUACGGGAGGCAGCAGUAGGGAAUCUUCGGCAAUAGACGAAAGUCUGACCGAGCAACGCCGCGUGAGUGAAGAAGGUUCUCGGAUCGUAAAGCUCUGUUGUAAGAGAAGAACGGGUGUGAGAGUGGAAAGUUCACACUGUGACGGUAUCUUACCAGAAAGGGACGGCUAACUACGUG
rnacentral:rRNA from 1 species